GACGAACGCUGGCGGCAUGCCUAAUACAUGCAAGUCGAGCGAACAGAUGAAGUGCUUGCACUUCUGACGUUAGCGGCGAACGGGUGAGUAACACGUAAGGAAUCUACCUAUAAGCGGGGGAUAACAUUCGGAAACGGGUGCUAAUACCGCAUAAUAUCUUCUUCCGCAUGGAAGAAGAUUGAAAGACGGCUCUGCUGUCACUUAUAGAUGACCUUGCGGUGCAUUAGUUAGUUGGUGGGGUAACGGCCUACCAAGACGAUGAUGCAUAGCCGACCGGGGAGGGGGAUCGGCCACAUUGGGACUGAGACACGGCCCAAACUCCUACGGGAGGCAGCAGUAGGGAAUCUUCCGCAAUGGGCGAAAGCCUGACGGAGCAAUGCCGCGUGAGUGAAGAAGGCCUUCGGGUCGUAAAACUCUGUUAUAAGAGAAGAACAAAUUGUAGAGUAACUGCUACAGUCUUGACGGUAUCUUAUCAGAAAGCCACGGCUAACUACGUGCCAGCCGCCGCAGUAA
rnacentral:rRNA from 1 species